CCCCAAAGAUUUUAAAAAUUAACAUUUUAGUCUCCCAAAAAAAUUAAUGUACAAAUCAAUCCCAACGUUUCUCUCUAUUAAACAUAACAGGCCUCCGUCCAAAAAUAAAAUAAUGAGUAAUACCCCAAAUAGGUCCCCAAGGAUUUGGCCGUACGACAGAUUUGUCCCCCAGAAAAAUUAACUAAGUCCCCAGUCCCCGAAAUUGUUAAAUAUGUGCCAUAUACGUCCCUGCUCCAAGUUUAGCCGGUUAACUGAACACUCUCUCUCCUACGUGGAGGUGAUCAGUAUGACGUAUCAGGUUAAAGGCUUCCAGGACACGUAGGUCCUUGUACACGUGGCAAAAACGACGUCAUUUAAGGGCUUUUCAAAACGACGUUGUUUUGAGUGGGACAGAUUAGUCCCCAAGCUUUAUCAAAUCAAUGUGAUAAAACGGCAACGUUGUGAAUAGGGACCUAGUAUAAAAAUGCACGUCCUUUUCCCUUGGCUCUGUUAAAUGACCUGAAACCCCAAACCCUUACCCAGAUUUUACAAGGUAACCCUUCAUCUUCCUCAAAUCCAUUAACGUUGACUGAAGUCUGUAAUAGUGGUUUGACAAAGCUGACGGCAACUGGGUGGUGGCGGUGGUGUGUCGUGCAUAUCGCCAUUGUUGGAGAUGAGUGAAGACGUGAUACCCGUAUUUCACCACGGUGGAAGUUUUGUGAGAGACAACAAGAGUAUUUGUGUACAUCAAUGGAGAAGUCAAGAAGUUUCCCCCAAUGGACAUUGACCUGAUAUGUUUCUUUGACCUGAAGAAACUUUUUUUGGACUUGGGUUACCAUGAAUAUAAGGCAAUGUUUUGGUAUGAUCCGACUUCUGUUGACCUGGAGUCUGGGCUUCACCCAAUUCACGGAGACAAAGAGAUCAGAGAUCU